CUUGUCUCAAACUUCUGGGCUUAAGCCUCCCGAGUAGCUGGUAUUACCGGUGUGCACCACCAUGCCCAGUGUUGCCUGUUUCUUGACUAUCAGAUAGUUUCCCUUGCAAAGUUAUCAAAGUGCUCCCCAGAAGACAUUAGGUAUUUGCUUUCUAGUCUACAUACAAUGAAAAGGAAAAAACGUCAGUUCCUGAAGCUCUCUCAAAACAUCAACAGAUGGAAAGACGUGCCCAUGUCCUCCCCUCCCUCCACUCUGGGGGCUUGGAAAUGCUGCAGCAGGGAGCAGGCCCCAGGCUGGACCUGCCCUGUCCUCACAAUGAGUGUGUGCAAAAGUGAACAAUAAAUCAUUUCAAAGAUGCAAGGAAGAAAAACCAAAACAUCAACAGAAUCUUCUUUCCCAUAAUCUUCAUGCACCUCCUGGUCCGGAUGAGUUUAUGUUCCCAUCUCUGAGCACAGGGAUUGAUUGUGAUGGCAUUUAUAGGACUGAGCGCCCCACACUCUGUGAUCCAGCAUGGAGUUAUGAUUUACAUCACCACAGGAAGAGUACAGAGGCUUCAACAGAAAAAAAGAACCAAUAACAACAGUGACGAAAUCACAAAAGAAAAGGUCCACAACAAAAGCACUGAUAUGGAGCACAGAAGAUCUAGAAUCAUACAAAGACUCUAAGCCUGACUCACACGUUGACUGUUGCGACGUUAGUGCAAAACUUACAAUGAUAUGUAUAUACAAAACUUACAGUGAUAUGUAUAUACAUUUAUAAUUAUAUGUAUACAUAAUCCAUUUUACCUGGUUUUGGGUCUCAUAAGAAUAACAAUUUAUAUUUCAGGAGCCCCACAAUGAAUUAAUGUAUAGACAGAUGUAUUGAUUCAUUUGUUUCUAUUUUAUUGUUAAAGAUUUAAUUUUAUCACAAAUGAACAUACAAUUUUUACCCUCUUAAACAUUUUUAAGUAUACAGUUCAGUAUUUAGUAUAUUCAUAUUGUUGUAAAUCCAAUUUCCACAACUCUUUCAUCUUGCAAAAAUGAAACUGUGUACCCAUUAAACAACUCCCAAUUUCCCCUGCCCCACCCCCUAGUAACCCUCUAGUAUCAUACAUUCCACUUUCUGUUUCUAGGAGUUUGCCCAUGCAAGAUACUACAUAUAAAUAACGUUAUACAGUAUCUGCCUUUUGUAAAUGGCUACAUUUCACAAUGUAGUCAAGGUUCAUCCAUGUUGUAGCACGCAUCAAAAUUCCUUCCAUUUUGAGGAUGAAUAACAUUUCAUUGUAUGCCAAGACAUAUAUCACAUUUUGCUUAUACAGUCAUUCAUUGAUGGACACCUAGGUUGCUUCUACUUUUUGGCUAUUGUGAACAAUGCUGCUUUGAACGUGUGUAUAAAACUAUCUCUUUUAGACCCUAUUUUCAGUUUUACUCGGUAUGUGUCCAGGAGUGGAAUUGCUGGAUUAUACAGUAAUUCUGCUUUUAAGGUUUGAGGAACUGACAUACUGUUUUGCAUAGCAUCUGCACCACUUUAAAUCUCUUCCAACAGUGUACAGGGGUUUCAGUUUCUCCACCUCCUUGACAACAUUUGUUAUUUUCUUUUUUAAAAUAUAGUGGCCCUGGUUAUUAUUCACUAGAUUAUCUUCUUCAGUGUUUGAG
rnacentral:lncRNA from 1 species